rnacentral:rRNA from 1 species
UACGUAGGCAGCGAGCGUUGUUCGGAGUUACUGGGCGUAAAGGGUGUGUAGGCGGUUCUUUUAAGUUUGGUGUGAAAUCUCCCGCUCAACCGGGAGGGUGCGCCGAAAACUGGGGGGACUAGAGUGCGGGAUGGGAGAGUAGAAUUCCUGGUGUAGCGGUGAAAUGCGUAGAUAUCAGGAGGAAUACCGGUGGUGUAGACGGCUCUCUGGACCGCCACUGACGCUGAGACACGAAAGCGUGGGUAGCAAACAGG